CCUACGGGUGGCUGCAGUGAGGAAUAUUGGUCAAUGGGCGAGAGCCUGAACCAGCCAUGCCGCGUGCAGGAAGACGGCCCUACGGGUUGUAAACUGCUUUUGUGUGGGAAGAAAACGUUCUACGAGUAGGACACUGACGGUACCAUAUGAAUAAGCAUCGGCUAACUCCGUGCCAGCAGCCGCGGUAAUACGGAGGAUGCGAGCGUUAUCCGGAUUUAUUAGGUUUAAAGGGUGUGAUUACGGACGAGGAGAAAUCUCAGAGCUUAACUCUGAAACUGCCAUAGAUACUGGUCGUCUUGAGUACAGUUGAAGUAGGCGGAAUGUGUAAUGUAGCGGUGAAAUGCUUAGAUAUUACACAGAACACCGAUUGCGAAGGCAGCUUGCUAAGCUGUUACUGACGCUGAUGCACGAAAGCGUGGGGAGCGAACAGGAUUAGAUACCCCUGUAGUC
rnacentral:rRNA from 1 species